GGCGGCAGUGAGUAAAAUAACCGAAGUGCAUCCUCGACGACUGUCAUAUCAAGCAAGGUGCAGCGCUGGCCUUUUGUGGAGAAACACGGUCUCAAGACUGCCGGCCCCCACUGGGACUAUCUGAUGGCGCGAGCACACCAGUUUUUCAGUUGGCCAUCUGAUCAAAGGUUUGAAGCUGAAUUUUGGCAAGCUGGCGUAGUGCACUGAUCAAGGCCUCAAAGAAAAUUCCUAAGUGGUGCGCAUUCACACUGUUACGAGUUGAUGAACUAUUGACACUAGUUUGGACAAAACUAUUUUGAGGUAAGACUACUUAGCGUUACCUUUGCAGCAGCAUGGCACUUAGCCAGUGUGGUGUGAGUAGGCCAGGCUGUCUGCCUCUCAUGCUGGUUCGGCGGUCUGGCCAUAUUGGAAACACAGACACACACUAUAAGACAGAAUGAUGCAGUAUUUCACCAAACCACACAAAUAGAUUUCUAUUUGAAAAUAGAGUAUAAUGCACUGUGGCACUAUGUUUUCAGAUUUUGAGUUGUCUGUAAAAAGAAACAACUACCCAUGAUGCAUUCUGUGACCAGCACGGACUCAAAUCCACAACCCAAAGGACAGGAAGUGUGCUAGUAAGGAGGCACCCAUAGGAGGCUCUUGUGCCUGACUCUGUUACCUAUCUUGGUUGUAUGUGUGUUUUCUGUCUAUUUGUGUCAAUCUGUGUUUAUAUCCUGUUUUUUACCCUGUGAGACCAAAGGCAAUUUUCAUGCUUGCAUGAUAAUAAAGUAUAAUCUAAUCUUAAAUCAGGUGUAUAAAACUCCAAUCACUGUGCCUGAGCUGUAAAAUGUAGUAUUGCAAAGUCAACGAACAAGCCUUAUGGUUUACCACUUCUCACUGGUGAAA